CCAAAAGAGCUUCAGAAUCACAGAAGACAGUUUAUUUUCAACAUAUGGGAAAGAUGAGGAAUGUUCUCCCAGAGAUAACCAUCUUUAUAACCUGCAGUUGAAAGGAUCUUCAGACCUUUUCCAGCUAUUGGACACUGCUUUUGUAUAUUAGACAAGAGGAUGAACUGGCUGCUGAGGCAGCACAAAAAGAUAAGAAGGAUACCCAAGGAAAAGUAGACAGGAGGAUACCCAAGCAAUGUUACAGAUAUUCCAAAAAACUGCUGAGAUCAACGGGAGUCUUCCAGUGACAUCAGUGUACUUUGCAGCAGGGCAUUCCCCUAAAAACUCAAAGGUAAGAAGCUUUCUUGUUCUUCUCUUAUCUGCUGAGACAGACAAGGUCAAUUUUAGUGCUAG